rnacentral:lncRNA from 1 species
GUUUUUCCUGAACUAUAUGUUAUGAAAUCUAUACACAAUUUUUAUUACCACAAAACUUAGAUCAAGUACUAAUUUGGGUAUUGUCACUUAUACAGUUCUAGCAAUUUGCCCUUUAUAAUGUUAUAUCCUAGUGGGGCAUCAUCUGUGUCCCAAGGAAAAUACAUCUUGAACCUUUUGUACUAGUAAAACACUUAUACAAGUUUUAACCCUGACUACAUGUAGGACUCUUAUAUAUCCUGUUGACUAAUAUUAACAUAUCCAUCAAAACAUGUUAGAAAUAAGGCCAAAAUAAAUUAAUAGUGUGUUUCCGGUUUCCCGACCCUACCUCCAUUUCCGACGCCGACCCUAAAUUUUUUAUUGACAAAAAUUAAAAAAAUUAUGAAAAACACGGAUUUUUCGGUCUGUCCGGAUCCGACUAGAAAAUUACAAAUCUUCAAAACGUUUGAUAGCAAAGACCAAUAUAAAUGAGUCAAGCGUUUCAAAAACCAAGAUUUUAAAUAAACAAGCAUGGCUGCAGCUAUUUUUAUAAGCUUUCAAAUAUGCAAAAUGUGAUCACAUGUUUUCAAAAUAUAAUGACAUCAAUUCUGGAUUAUUACAAUAUGAUGAAUCUUUUUUAAGCAUAACAUGAUGGGCAAAAAAAAAGUUUUUAUGACAUACGAAAACAUUUGACAAGACCAUACUUGACAAAUAAUUUUAAGAGUAAAAUCAAGGAUUUGUAUAGUUAGACAAAUAUACUUACUAUAAUAUAAUUACUAUAAAAAUCCUCGGUAAAAUGAAAGCAAUUUACUGCUAAAAUCAAUCCAGCUUUUGUUGUAAAAUAUGCUCCUACCAACAUUGUAAAAAAAAUUCUCAGACAUAAUAUGCUUUUGGGGAUUUGACAGUUGGAGAGGCAGACAAUGUGUUAUGAGAAAUAGAAAGCUUUCCCCAGUAGGCAGACAUGGUGUAUGAUUCAUGUUCAUUUAUAAAUGAAUCUGCCCCAGCACCAUGUCUUCUUUUAUUCUUUUAAAUUUUCUCUAGCUACAAUUUUUUUUCCAUAAUUAAAUAUAAAGACAAAAGAUUCUCACUUUUCUCAAAACCUGAAAUUUUAAUAUUGUCAGAACCCCACUCCUAAAGAUUAAAUUCUGUCAAACAUUAAAACACAUCUAUUUAUUAGAUAAAAAGGGUGCAAGAGAAUUGCCCCUCAAAAAAUAAUAAGCUGCUGCUUAAUAGCAUCGAUUUACAGUGUUUCUACUACUAAAAAAAGGGGGUUGGGGAGGGUAGAAAUCUGUUCCCACAUGUAUACCCUCAACUUAAAGUUAUAUUUAGCUUCUGCAGAUACAAAAACAUUAAAUUGAUAGGACAUUUUUAUUAUUAAUGAAAAUGUAUGUAGAUUUAAUUAAGUUCUAUUAUAAAUAUCAAAGAACCAUGCAGGCACAUUAAAUGAAUUUAUUUGAAUCUUUUUCUGCUUUCAUCGAUAGAAAAAAAUAAAAAGUUUUCAUAAAAUAAAAUGUUUUACCUACCUACCCUACCUAUUUUUUUUCAGGAUGAAAUAGGAAACACACUAUUUAUUUAUUUUGGCCUAAGUAAUAAAAUAUCAAAAAGAAGAUGCGGUAUGAUUGCCAAUGAGACAACUCUCCACAAGAGACCAAAUGACAUAGAAAUUAGAAACUACAGGUCACGGUACAGCCUUCAACAAUGAGCAAAGCCCAUACCAAGUAGAAGAAAGAAAAUAACAAUCCUGGGCAAAAAUAAAAAGGAAAUCACAAACAGCUGUCUGUAAUAAAAAGGUGCAAAACACAACACAAAUAUGAACACUUUGCAACAUUAAACGCAAACUAUUUGGUUUUUAGGGACGUAUUAUGGUAUACAAAUGUCUGUCUGUCUGUCUGGCGUCCACAUGUCGCACCAUAACUUGAGAACCACA